rnacentral:rRNA from 1 species
GAUGAACGCUGGCGGCGUGCCUAAUACAUGCAAGUCGAGCGAACGGACGAGAAGCUUGCUUCUCUGAUGUUAGCGGCGGACGGGUGAGUAACACGUGGAUAACCUACCUAUAAGACUGGGAUAACUUCGGGAAACCGGAGCUAAUACCGGAUGAUAUUUUGAACCGCAUGGUUCAAAAGUGAAAGGCGGUCUUGCUGUCACUUAUAGAUGGAUCCGCGCUGCAUUAGCUAGUUGGUAAGGUAACGGCUUACCAAGGCAACGAUGCAUAGCCGACCUGAGAGGGUGAUCGGCCACACUGGAACUGACACGGUCCAGACUCCUACGGGAGGCAGCAGUAGGGAAUCUUCCGCAAUGGGCGAAAGCCUGACGGAGCAACGCCGCGUGAGUGAUGAAGGUCUUCGGAUCGUAAAACUCUGUUAUUAGGGAAGAACAUAUGUGUAAGUAACUGUGCACAUCUUGACGGUACCUAAUCAGAAAGCCACGGCUAACUACGUG